rnacentral:tRNA from 1 species
AAAAUUUUAUUUAAGGUAGAUUUUGGAAGAUUUCUAAUCUUCUUAUAAGUGUACUUACAUUUAU